CUUAAACGUUCUCACAAUAGCAAAAGUCACUCUGGCUAGUAACUGGAAGAGCACACAAAUCCCCAUUGGAGGUGGCCAUCAGCAACAAACUAGACACAAUUAGCUCUUAUGAGCGGAUGGCAUGUAGACUAAACUGCUGUAUGGGUACAUAUGACCGUGACUGGAGCAGUUGGACUCCCAGGCGGUAAGACCAUGCUCUGUGACCGAC